UACAGAGGGUGCGAGCGUUGUCCGGAAUUAUUGGGCGUAAAGAGCUUGUAGGCGGUUUGUCGCGUCUGCUGUGAAAAUCUGGGGCUCAACCCCGGACUUGCAGUGGGUACGGGCAGACUAGAGUGCGGUAGGGGAGAUUGGAAUUCCUGGUGUAGCGGUGGAAUGCGCAGAUAUCAGGAGGAACACCGAUGGCGAAGGCAGAUCUCUGGGCCGUAACUGACGCUGAGGAGCGAAAGCGUGGGGAGCGAACAGG
rnacentral:rRNA from 1 species